rnacentral:lncRNA from 1 species
GUAAAUUUAGUCCUGCUGGAAACAUGGAGGCAGGCUAUGGAGGCUGAACUAUUUCCUAUUGGUGUUUAAGUUCCUUUGUGCCUACUGAACAGCUUCGCCUAAAAUCAGUGACAACCUGCCCGCUCCCAUGCCUGUUCGUCAUAAAUGUGUGAAAACAGAGCCCAGCAUAGUUAGUAAUUAUCCCUUCAUUAUGCCAAUAUGCUUCUGAAAGCAUAAUCAUGAUCAAAAGACACGUGAUUCUCCUCUUACUGCUUUCUGUUUGCAGGUUUCAACUUUUUUUAUUUCUCUUCCUGCUAAUAAGGAUUUUUUAAUUUGAAAAUCAACAACAGCUUUUGAAGCCUGUGCCUGUCCUCAUGGUAAUGAUAAAUCUCCCCUGACCUGAGGACUCAGACUCUGCAGCAGUGAAUAGCAGCUGAAAUAACAGGCACGUGGAAAUGCUGCAGAGAAGGACACACAAGAAGCAUCUACAGCUCCAGGGGACUCGCGUGGAUCAUUUGGUGCCCAUUGCAGCACAUUCAAAGAAGCUCUGUGACGCACACCUGAACACUGGAGGGGCAGCAGGAGUUGGUUCAAGGCAGUAAGCUCAAGCUCAGUGUGUGUCCUUCAGCUGGACACUGUAGAGCUUCCCUAGAAAUACCUAACUGGCCUCUGAGUUGGAAGGCAGAAAACAAGAAUGCACCUUUCCUGCUUCCUACAGAGAAGGCUGCCAAGAGCCACUCUUGAUCCACACAUCCAUCCAGUGUAAACUAAUGCCUUCUUGUUAAUCUUACGCUAAGACUGAUCUCAAAUCUUGUCUGUGCCUGUAUGGCCUUUAUUUUCAUUCCUUUCAUUCCUGUCUCUCCUCUCUGUUUGUAGGGAUUAACUGCCCUUGGCAGUCUCCUCCUAUCACUACCUAUCCAGAAGUAUUCACAUUCUUC